AUGAUAGCAUUGAAGAAGAGUAAGUAGCAUGAUGAAAGUUUUUAGAGAGCUGACGGUUGGUGAAAGUCAGUAGCGGACAUGAUGUGAAUGGACUUCUGAGCUCUGAUCUGAAAGGAUUUUUUAUUAGGAUACAGCGAUUAGGCCUUAUCGUUACACAAGGCGCCCAUUCGAAAUUUGGAUGGAUUAAGUGAACUGUUUUUACAGUUAAUCAAGGUGGUACCACGGGUCUCUCGUCCUUGUC
rnacentral:ncRNA from 1 species